UUACGGACAUAUCACAUUGAAACACCGGUUACCCUACGAUUACCGGAGUUAAGCAACGUCGAGCCUAGUCUGUAUCUAGAUGGGUGACCGCUUGGGAAUACCAGGUGCUGCAAG